rnacentral:rRNA from 1 species
UACGGAGGAGGCAAGCGUUAUCCGGAAUUAUUGGGCGUAAAGCGUCCGCAGGUGGCGAUUCAAGUCUGCGGUCAAAGACUGGGGCUUAACCCUGGAAAGGCCGUGGAAACUGAAAAGCUAGAGUGCAGUAGGGGUAGAGGGAAUUCCCGGUGUAGCGGUGAAAUGCGUAGAGCUCGGGAAGAACAUCGGUGGCGAAAGCGCUCUGCUGGACUGCAACUGACACUCAGGGACGAAAGCUAGGGGAGCGAGUGGG